CACAAUAACACACACAGACUCAAUCACACCAGGUUACAGUAAAAAUGCUGUGGGACUCAACAGGAUGUGGCAGUGAUCAUACAUGAUAACACACAUUUAGUUGCAGAUAUUUGUUGUCUUAAAAAUAUAAAGUCUACAUGUACUCCAAGUUUGGACUGGAUGACUUUCUUUGUUGGCCACUUGGGGGCAGAAGAAACCAACAGUAUUCAUCUGGAGUCAUGUUUCUGCCCCUUUCAAACUUCAAGGCUGGCACUUCACUUUAAUGUUCGCUCGACUCCACCAGACGAUCUGAGACAUUGCAGAAGACAGCUUCAUUUAACAGAAUGUUACCAAGAUUAAAUGCUAACUGCUGUGUUUCCAGUAAGUUUCUGUGGCAACUUCAAUCAGCUCCCUGGGAACAUACCACAGAUGCAAUCAGCGCAGAGGUGAGAAGAGGUUGCAUUAAAAGCAGCGCUCAUCAAAGCAGAUUUGCCGGAAUACCUGCUGACUGCGUUGCCAAAAAUUCCUCGAAUAUUAUCCACUACAGACGCAUUGGGAAGAGUCCUUACAUCUGCCACGGUCUCUCCUUGCUGGAAAGAGGAGUCACAAAAACAGACAGCAAAUAGUUUAUUUGAAGAAAACUGCUUUGCGUGCUUGAGGGAGGCAUUUAAUUUAAAUGAAAAAUAAAGCACAUCUUACCUUUUUGACAGAGAA